rnacentral:rRNA from 1 species
CCUACGGGGGGCUGCAGUGGGGAAUAUUGGACAAUGGGGGGAACCCUGAUCCAGCCAUGCCGCGUGUGUGAAGAAGGCCCUCGGGUUGUAAAGCACUUUCAGUGAGGAAGAACGCCUGGUGGUUAAUACCCAUCAGGAAAGACAUCACUCACAGAAGAAGCACCGGCUAACUACGUGCCAGCAGCCGCGGUAAUACGGAGGGUGCGAGCGUUAAUCGGAAUUACUGGGCGUAAAGCGCGCGUAGGUGGCUUGAUAAGCCGGUUGUGAAAGCCCCGGGCUCAACCUGGGAACGGCAUCCGGAACUGUCAAGCUAGAGUGCAGGAGAGGAAGGUAGAAUUCCCGGUGUAGCGGUGAAAUGCGUAGAGAUCGGGAGGAAUACCAGUGGCGAAGGCGGCCUUCUGGACUGACACUGACACUGAGGUGCGAAAGCGUGGGUAGCAAACAGGAUUAGAUACCCCUGUAGUC